rnacentral:rRNA from 1 species
UCAAGCAAGAAGAGGUUUGCGGCGGAUGCCUGGGAGCUGUCCGGCGAAGAAGGCCGCGGUAAGCUGCGAAAAGCUGCGGGGAGGAGCACACAUCCUUAGAUCCGCAGAUAGCCGAAUGGGGUAACCCGUAUGUCGCAAGGCAUACACCGCGCGCGGGAAGAAGAUACUGCGGCGGAGCGAUACUGCGUGAAGUGAACCAUCUAAGUAACGCGGGAAGAGAAAUCAAAAGAGAUUGCGCAAGUAGCGGCGAGCGAACGCGCAGGAGCCUAAACCCUUAUGUAGGGUGUUGCAGGGCCGCACGGGGAUGACCCGUGGAGUUGGUGAGAAAACCGAUAUUUAGCGGAAGCGUCUGGAAAGGCGCGCGAGACAGCGUGAAAGCCGCGUAUGCGAAAAGGAUCGGACUCCAUGGUGCGGUACCUAAGUAGAGCGGGGCACGAGAAACCCUGUUUGAAUCCGGGUCGACCACGAUCCAAGGCUAAAUACGAGACAGCUACCGACAGCGAAGAGUACCGUGAGGGAACGGCGAAAAGAACCCCUGUGAGGGGAGUGAAAGAGAACCUGAAACCGCAAACCGACAAGAUGUCACGGCGCGCGAGCGUUGUGGCGUGUCUUUUGUAGAAUAAACCUGCGAGUUGCGAUGCGCGGCGAGGCUAAGGGUUGGGAGAUCCGGAGCCGGAGCGAAAGCGAGUGUGAAAAGUGCGAGAAGUCGCGUGUCGCAGACCCGAAGCCAAGGUGAUCUAAUUAUGGGCAGGCUGAAGGCAGGGUGAAACCUGUUGGAGGGCCGAACAGUAAUCUGUUAAAAAAGGUAGUGAUGACCUGUGAUUAGGAGUGAAAGGCUAAACAAACCUGGAAAUAGCUGGCUCUCCCCGAAAUGCCUUUAGGGACAGCCUCAUGCAAAGCGGAAGGAGGUAAAGCACCGGAUGGGAUAGGGGGCGUCACAGUCUACCGACACCAAUCGAACUCAGAAUGCCAUCCGCCAACGCAUGGGAGUGAGACUGUGUGCUCCAAGGUUCAUAGUCGAGAGGGAAACAGCCCGGACCGACGGCAAAGGUCCCGAAAUAACGCUCAGUGUGAAAUGAGGUGCGUCUGCACAGACAGCCAGGAGGUUGGCUCAGAAGCAGCCAUUCCUUAAAAGAGUGCGUAACAGCUCACUGGUCGAGCAGGCGUGCGCAGACAAUGUAACGGGGCUAAGCGUUAUACCGAAGCCGCGGGCCCGCAUUGUAAGAUGUGGGCGGUAGGGGAGCAUUGCGCUAACCGAAGAAGGCGUACCUGUGAGGGGCGCUGGAGGAAGCGGAAGAGAGAAUGCAGGCACAAGUAACGAAAAGACGGGUGAGAUUCCCGUCCGCCGAAAGCCUGAGGAUUCCCGGGUAAAGGCAAUCUGCCCGGGGUAAGUCGGCCCCUAAGGCGAGGACGAAAGUCGUAGUCGAUGGGAAAUCGGUUCAAAAUCCGAUACCCGAUUCAGUUUUGAAGGCAGGACGCAUGAGGUGAAAUCCGGCAGAAGAACGGUAGUUUCUGUCCAAGCGGUAAGGUGUUGAGAGGGCGGUUAAAAGAGCCCUUGAGCUGAGCCGUUACGGGGAGCGGAGCGCAGGCGAAGCGAAGCGGAUGUAAUCAAGGUGCCGGGAAAUACUGUCUAAAGUUAGGCUGAGUCGGACCGUACCGGAAACGGACACACGCAGGCAGGAUGAGUAAUCUAAGGCGCACGAGCGACCCCGCGUUAAGGAACUCGGCAAAAAGCACACGUAACUUCGGAAGAAGUGUGGCUCACGCUGAUAAGGAUGUGAGCGGCAGAAAGCAGGCCCAGGCGACUGUUUACCAAAAACACAGCCAUCUGCGAACCAGUAAUGGGACGUAUAGGUGGUGACACCUGCCCGGUACCGGAAGGUUAAGGGGAGGGGUUAGCAGGAAUGCGAAGCUCCGAACCGAAGCCCCGGCAAACGGCGGCCGUAACUAUAACGGUCCUAAGGUAGCGAAAUUCCUUGUCGGGUA